rnacentral:rRNA from 1 species
GAUGAACGCUGACAGAAUGCUUAACACAUGCAAGUCAACUUGAAGCAGUUUCGGCUGUGGAUGGUGGCGGACGGGUGAGUAACGCGUAAAUAACUUGCCCUUUAGACUGGGACAACUGUUGGAAACGACAGCUAAUACCGGAUAUUAUGAAACCUUGGCAUCAAGGGAUUAUGAAAGCUAUAUGCGCUAGAGGAGAGAUUUGCGUCCUAUUAGCUAGUUGGUGAGGUAAUGGCUCACCAAGGCGACGAUAGGUAGCCGGCCUGAGAGGGUGAACGGCCACAAGGGGACUGAGACACGGCCCUUACUCCUACGGGAGGCAGCAGUGGGGAAUAUUGGACAAUGGACCAAGAGUCUGAUCCAGCAAUUCUGUGUGUUUGAUGAAGGCCUUCGGGUUGUAAAGAACUUUAAGUAGGGAAGAAGAAAGUGACGGUACCUACAGAAUAAGCGACGGCUAAAUACGUGCCAGCAGCCGCAGUAA